CACUUGUAAACACGUAACUCGCUUUGAAUAUUCAAUGUUUUUAAUCAAUCAUUAGUACUGUAAAUUCGAUGAUAUUAUUAAAUAUUCAUGACCUACUCCUAAAUUGGUCAUGUGGGAGGAGCCUGGAACAUAUCGUUCAGAAUAAUUCAUCAUGGAAGUCUCUGUGGAGGCCGACGAAGGAUUUCCCUACCAACCAGAAGUUUGGCUACCACCACCAAUUCUCAGGCAGGUGGAAAUCACUUGAUAUGUUCUUUGGGAGAAUACUGAUUUCUAAAAAAGGAUUAUAUUUGGAUAUUUCUGAUAGGCUUCAAUAGAACUUUCGAACUUGUGGAAGGCAAUGUGGACCUGUUCGUCACACCCUAUUCACUCAACAGACUCAAACCCAUAUGUCAUCAAAUAGACACA